rnacentral:rRNA from 1 species
AUUGAACGCUGGCGGCAGGCCUAACACAUGCAAGUCGAGCGGAUGAAGGGAGCUUGCUCCUGGAUUCAGCGGCGGACGGGUGAGUAAUGCCUAUGAAUCUGCCUGGUAGUGGGGGAUAACGUCCGGAAACGGGCGCUAAUACCGCAUACGUCCUGAGGGAGAAAGUGGGGGAUCUUCGGACCUCACGCUAUCAGAUGAGCCUAGGUCGGAUUAGCUAGUUGGUGGGGUAAAGGCCUACCAAGGCGACGAUCCGUAACUGGUCUGAGAGGAUGAUCAGUCACACUGGAAGUGAGACACGGUCAAGACUCCUACGGGAGGCAGCAGUGGGGAAUAUUGGACAAUGGGGGAAAGCCUGAUCCAGCCAUGCCGCGUGUGUGAAGAAGGUCUUCGGAUUGUAAAGCCGGUUAAGUUGGGAGGAAGGGCAGUAAGUUAAUACCUUGCUGUUUUGACGGUACCAACAGAAUAAGCACCGGCUAACUUCGUG